rnacentral:rRNA from 1 species
UACGUAGGGUGCGAGCGUUGUCCGGAAUUAUUGGGCGUAAAGAGCUUGUAGGCGGUUUGUCGCGUCUGCUGUGAAAAUCCGGGGCUCAACCCCGGACUUGCAGUGGGUACGGGCAGACUAGAGUGUGGUAGGGGAGACUGGAAUUCCUGGUGUAGCGGUGAAAUGCGCAGAUAUCGGGAGGAACACCAGUGGCGAAGGCGGCUUUCUGGGCCUUACCUGACGCUGAGACGCGAAAGCGUGGGGAGCGAACCGG